GGCAGAAUAGCUCAGUUGGAUAAGAACAUCUCACAUGAUAUAAGAAGGUCCUAGGUUCAAAUCCCACUUUUUCA